AGAGUUUGAUCCUGGCUCAGGAUGCUUUCUAGCGGCAGGCUUAACACAUGCAAGUCGAGGGGCAGCGGGGAGGAAGCUUGCUUUCUCCGCCGGACACCCGCGCACGGGAGAGUCACACGUAUGCAACCUGCCCCUGUCGGGGGGACAACCCGCCGAAAGGCGGGCUAAACCCGCGUACAUGCCACCGGGGCAUCCCGGAGGCAAGAAAGGCUUCGGCCGGACAGGGAUGGGCAUGCGGCGCAUUAGGCAGUAGGCGGGGAAACGGCCCACCUAACCGACGAUGCGUAGGGGUUCUGAGAGGAAGGUCCCCCACACUGGUAGUGAGACACGGACCAGACUCCUACGGGAGGCAGCAGUGAGGAAUAUUGGUCAAUGGUCGGGAGACUGAACCAGCCAAGCCGCGUGAGGGAGGAAGGUACAGAGUAUGGUAAACCUCUUUUGUCAGGGAACAAAGACUGGGACGCGUCCCUGGAUGAGUGUACGUGAAGAAAAAGCAUCGGUUAACUCCGUGCCAGCAGCCGCGGUAAUACGGAGGAUGCGAGCGUUAUCCGUAUUUAUUGGGUUUAAAGGGUGGGCAGGCGGUCUGUUAAGUCAGUGGUCAAAGCCCGGGGCUCAACCCCGGCCCGCCGUUGAAACUGGCAGUCUCGAGUUGGAGAGAAGUAUGCGGAAUGCGCGGUGUAGCGGUGAAAUGCAUAGAUAUCGCUGCAGAACUCCGAUUGAGAAGGCAGCAUGCCGGCUCCACACAGACGCUGAGGCAGGAAAGCGUGGGUAUCGAACAGGAUUAGAUACCCUGGUAGUCCACGCAGUCAACGAUGAAUGCUGGCUGUCCGGGGGGACUGACCCCUGGGUGGCGAAGCGAAAGCGAUAAGCCAUUCCACCUGGGGAGUACGCCGGCAACGGUGAAACUCAAAGGAAUUGACGGGGGCCCGCACAAGCGGAGGAACAUGUGGUUUAAUUUGAUGAUACGCGAGGAACCUUACCCGGGCUCAAACGGGGAGUGCCGCAGGCAGAGACGCCUGUUUCCCACGGGACACUCCCCGAGGUGCUGCAUGGUUGUCGUCAGCUCGUGCCGUGAGGUGUCGGCUUAAGUGCCAUAACGAGCGCAACCCCCGCGUGCAGUUGCUAACAGAUAACGCUGAGGACUCUGCACGGACUGCCGGCGCAAGCCGCGAGGAAGGCGGGGAUGACGUCAAAUCAGCACGGCCCUUACGUCCGGGGCGACACACGUGUUACAAUGGGUGGUACAGCGGGAAGCCAGGCGGCGACGCCGAGCGGAACCCGAAAUCCACUCUCAGUUCGGAUCGGAGUCUGCAACCCGACUCCGUGAAGCUGGAUUCGCUAGUAAUCGCGCAUCAGCCAUGGCGCGGUGAAUACGUUCCCGGGCCUUGCACUCACCGCCCGUCA
rnacentral:rRNA from 1 species